AAAAAAAGGACCCGUCAUGGUCCAUGCCAUGAUAGACUCAGGAGCCACAAACAACUUCAUUGACAGAGAGUAUGCCGACUCUCUGGGAUUACAAUAUCACGACUUCAAGAACGCCCGUGUGGUGCAAGCCAUCGAUGGCCGCCCCCUCAAGACAGGUCCAGUAAGCCAGUGGUCGGAACCCACCAGAAUGUGGAUAAGGGAACACAUGGAAGAGAUUUCCUUCUUUGUUACCGAGGUUCCCCACUUCCCUGUGAUUUUGGGAAUUCCAUGGCUGACACUCCACGACCCAAGCAUCUCCUGGUCCAACAGAGAACUGCAGUUUGCUUCAAAAUAUUGCCAAAACCAUUGCCUUGUAGCCAAGGUAUGCCAUGCCACAGACGCUGAACCCAUCAUCACCUUGCCCAAGAAGUACUCAGAAUAUUGGGAUGUAUUCAAUGAAAAAGAAGCCGAGAGACUACCCCCACAUAGACCUUAUGACUGUGCCAUUGACUUGGUGGAGGGGGCCCCGAUUCCGCGAGGACACCUCUACUCCCUGACUGAACCAGAGCAAGAAGCUCUCAGGGAGUUCUUAGAGACAAACCUCCGCAAGGGGUUUAUCAGACCCUCUCAAUCCCCAGCCGCUUCCCCAGUGAUGUUUGUGAAAAAGAAGUCAGGGGACCUACGCUUGGUGGUGGACUAUAGAGCAUUGAACAAUAUCACUAAACGAAACCGGUAUCCCCUGCCUUUGAUCUCAGACCUCUUAGACCGGCUUCGAGGGGCUAAAGUUUACACCAAACUGGAUCUUCGAGGAGCUUAUAAUCUAGUUCGCAUCAGGGAAGGGGACGAGUGGAAGACUGCCUUCCAGACAAAAUUCGGGUUAUUCGAAACCCUGGUUAUGAAUUUCGGUUUAUGUGGAGCUCCCGCAACGUUCCAGCAUUUUGUCAACGAUAUCUUUCAGGAUUAUCUAGAUCGGUUCCUGAUUAUCUACCUGGACGAUUUUUUGGUGUUUUCUAGAUCACAAUCAGAACAUGAGAAUCACGUCAGAAUGGUGUUACAACGAUUGCGGGACCACGGACUUUAUGCCAAGUUGGAAAAAUGCGCUUUUGAUCUACAAGAGGUAGAUUUCCUGGGAUAUCGUGUCUCGCCACUAGGGCUCACCAUGGACCCGGCAAAGGUCACAGCAGUAUUGGAAUGGCGGGCGCCAACCAACAAGAAAGAGGUGCAACGAUUCUUGGGGUUCGCGAACUACUACCGCAAGUUCAUUCCAGACUUUGCCCGCUGGUCUGACCCAAUCACCAGCUGCAUCCGUGGGAAACAGCCUUUCCGCUGGACAGAUCAAGCAGAGAAAGGUUUCCAGCAACUAAAGAAAUUAUUCACGUCCCAGCCAAUCCUUCAGCAUCCAGAUCCUGAAACCCCUUUUGUCGUGCAGGCGGACGCCUCCGAUGUGGCGAUUGGGGCUGUACUCCUACAACCAGUGGGAGAUCAUCUCCAUCCUUGUGCCUUUUAUUCCCGUCAAUUGACUGCACCAGAGAGAAAUUACACUAGGCUCAUUCUUAGUUUGCAUGAGAUUGACAUCAGUGAGAUUAUCUGA